GCUGGUCAAACACGAUUUCUGGGCAUAUCUAUGAGGGUAUUUCUUCAUAGCUGUAUAAAAAUGGAUGAAUACAGGCACCAUCCAAUUGGUUGAGAGCCCAGAUAGAAUAACAAGGAAGAGGAAAGGUGAAUUAUCUCCUUCUGAAAUGGAAACAUCCUUCUUCUCCUGCCCUUGACAUCAGAACUUCAGGGUCUCAGACCUUUGGCCUCACAAUCAGAGUUACACCAUUGGCUUCCCCGAUUCUGAGUCCUUUGUAUCUGGAGUGAGCCAUGCUACCAGCUUUCCUGGUUCUCCAACUUGGAGACAGGCUAUUGUGGAACUUCUCAGCCUCCAUAAUUAUGUGAACCAGUUCCCCUAAUGAAUCUUCUCUCAUCUAUCUACAUAUAUCCUAUUGAUUCUGCCUUUAUGGAGACCCCUGCCUAAUGUGAUUACAAUAACUACAAAAUUCACUAGUUUAUAUAGAAGACUUGGUUUUUGUCUUUGCCCCAUUUUAUAUUUGUAUUAUAACUAUGUAUCUGGAAAAUGGAACAAGUUUUUUCUUCUUUAUAUGAGGGCUAAGGCUUUUUUCUCACCAAUAUUUUUGGAGAUUUUAAAGAUUUUCUUUUUUUUUUUGACAUAGAAUCUUAUGGAGGCUGAGAAAUAAUUUUUUUUCUAUUUUAUUCUUCAGCCCCAGGUGUUUGCUUUUGCAGAUUCUUGAGCACAUUGAGAGCCUCCAAGGCAUGGAGUGGGGUGCCUGAAGUUUCAGUGAUUAUAGGGAGUUGAGAGACUCAACUGGGAAAGGAAAGGUCUAAAAGGAGGCAAUUUGGAAAAUAAAAAUUUUCUCAAAGGAGCCAUUAAAGUUGUAAAUAAUUCUUAGUAAAGUCAUGCAAACAGGAAAAGAAGUAGAAUUAGUUCCAUAUUGGUGGAACACAUAGUCAGCAGAGGUUGGAGAAGGGAGAAUUUAGUGAACUGAGAAGUUCCCAUGAAAGCAGCAAGAUCAAGAUCACAGAGACACCUUGAAACAAAAAGCCAGGAAUAACUUCCAACCCAAGAGGAGAACAGAGAGGCCUCAAAACCAAAGCUAGGAUAAGAAACUUGUAGCCCAAGAGUUAUCUUCCAGACAAAGAAGCCUGAGAUUCCAACGCAGCUUCAGAGAGUGCUCACUCAAAAUGUUACUGAAACUGUAGGCUUUUUAAUGACUUAGCCAUGCCUGCAAAAGGCAUUCCCUAAGGUGGCACAGAAGAUGGAGCCCCCAUAUCCAAAGAUAGCCAAGGAGAAAGAAAGACCCCUGUUGCCAGAGCCAGUGGGCAAAGGCAACAGAAAAGGAGACAAGGGUCCUAAUGGGAUGAGAUCCUUUCGGAUUUAGGCUUUUAUACAAACUCCUGAGAACUGGCAGGUUGACAGCCAUAAAUGGGGUACCAAACUUUCUACUCAUUGGAUUACAAGUUCUCAGGCAUCCAGAAUGAUUAACAAAAUGACAAUUUCUAGGGCUUCUGUGGGAGAGUAUGGAAAGGUCUUUUUGAACCUUUUAAUGCUGUCAAUGGAAGAAUGAUGAGGUUCAUAAAUUUGGAAAGGAGACAUUUCUUCAUUUUUAUGCUUAUUUUUAUUUUUUUUUGAGACAGAGUUUCACUCUUGUUGCCCAGGCUGGAGUGCAAUGGCGUGAUCUUGGCUCACUGCAACCUCCGCCUCCUGGGUUCAAGCGAUUCUCCUGCCUCAGCCUCCUGAUUAGCUGGGAUUACAGAUGCCCACCACCACACCUGGCUAAUUUUUUGCAGUUUUGGUAGAGACAGGGUUUCAUCAUGUUGGCCAGGCUGGUCUGAAACUCCUGACCUCAGGUGAUCCACCCACCUCGGCCUCCCAAAGUGCUGGGAUUACAGGCAUGAGCCACCCACCCAGUGAGAGAUUUAUUUUCUAUAAAGGGUUGUAGCCUGCAGGGUUGUCCUUCUGACAGGCUGGGAAGCAUAGCCUCCAGCCAGAAGCCAGAAACAGAUGCUUCAAGGAGGAGGUAAAGGAAAUAGCAACUUAUGCUGAGUGGAAUGGCCAAAUAGAUUUAUUUAAUAAGCUCUAGGAGGAGUCAUGAAUAUUUAUGGAAGGAGAAAUGCAUGCACGCACAAUUGAGUUUCUUGCUUCUUCAUGGGUCCCAUGUACAAAAAAUGGCAGUGUUAGCAUGAUCCCAGGGUGGAGUUUUCAGCCCUCUGACAUUAAAAGGUGAAGCAGAGGACAUGAAAACUUGCUCUGUGCAUCCUCUGUACGCUGGCCAGAACCUCUCCAUCGUGGGUGGUCUCUUAUCAGGCAAGAAAGGAGAGGUUGAUAUCAGUAGUGGAGGCUUUGAAAGGGCUGGUUUCUGUUAAAUCCUUAGGGAAGAAAGCCUCAUCAUGGUUAGCAAAGGAGGGGGUAUAACGAUGUGUAUCUUAACCCCAUCAUCCCAUCCUAGCAAAGCUGAGAACUCAGUUUUGAAAGUUACUCUGGGGUCCCCUCAGCCAAGAGUGGGUCUGUUCAGUCAGUUGGGAGCUUAGAAUUUAAUUUUCAUUUAUCAAUGCUAAUGGGAAAGAGUACGCUGUCUUCAUGGCAGCUGAAUUUGCAAGAAACUCCUUGGAUGGGGUUAAUGGCAGCUGUAUUUUUCUGGGAGCUGUGCUUUAAUUGGAUAAAGUAAGUUCUGGUAAGAUUUCUUCAUCUUCAGUAUCUCAAAUGUUUUCAUUUAAAUAAUCUUUAUAACAACUUUUGAUGUCUGAGUGGAUUCCCACACAGUCAUCUAUUGUAAGACUUUCUGAUUCCUUUUUUUUCCUUUGGUCAUUAUGAAUAGGGCUUCUGUAAAUAACUGCAUGGUAGCUUUUGAUGGGAAAUAACAUCAAAGUAGUUGUCAAAAUACCUAGGAAUGUUAUUUUUGGAUUGUAAGGUGAGACUUGUUUAGCUUUGGAAAAAAAUGCCCAACUUGUAAUAGGGGAGGAAAAAUAAUUUUCUGUUUUUGGAAUUCUUAGAUGGAACGCUCUGUAAAAACUGACAGAUUAAAAUGAGAAAAAGAGAAAAGUUUAAAAACAUGUAUAUCUUAUGGUUACAUGGGAUAUACUCAGGGAAAAAUGAGUAAAUCUCCAACAGGUGGCUUUCAAUUCAAGCAUAAAUACUAUCUUCAACUUAAAGAAAGAAGAUUUGAGGUGCAGUAGUGGGAAGUUAACCAGCAAAAGCACAUUAGACAGGGGUAAGGUUUGUUAUACAGAGUUAAGUCCAUGCAGUCUCCAUUGAUAAGACUCUUCAGUGAUUUAGUUAUCCUUCUCUUCUUGGUGUCGAGAGAGGUAGCUUUUAAAUGGUGAUUUCCUUUAUAGAUGUAAAUUUUCCUUACACAAGUAACUUCUACUCUGUUUUCACAACUUCCUUUGUUAGCAUUUUUUUUUCAAAAUAAUUAGCUUGGAAUAAUUUUUAAGCCAAAGGGACAUAUUUUGGGGUUGCAUAUUCUGGUUUCCUACCAUUAUAUUUUGGGGUGGCAUAGUUUGGUCUUAUACACUGUGUUCUACUGGCAAUGAAAAGAGUUCUUGUUUUUCCUCCAGCAAUUUGUCAUUUGUUAAAGAGCUUAGCAGUUCUAAGAGAUAUAGACCAGCUGUGCUAUCUUUUUGUGGUUUUCAGUUCUCUAGUAUGUUGAGCAUCUUUUUGUAAGUGUACUUGCCAUCUGUAGAUCUUCUUUGGUGAGGUGUCUGUUCAGAUCUGUGUGCAUUUUUAAUUGGGCUGUUUAACUUAUUGUUUAGUUUUAACAAUUUUUUAUAUAUUUUGAAUACAAAUUCUCAGAUCUGUAUUUUGCAAAUAUUUUCUUCAAUAUGUGGCUUGUCUUUUUGUUCUCUUAACAAGGUCUCUUCCAGAGUAUAAACUGUAAAUAUUAAGAAAUCCACAUUGUCAUUUCUUCUGUGUAUAUCAACCUUCUGUGUCAUUUGUUAAAAUUCAUUACCAAACGCAAAGGUACAUAGCUUUUCCUCUAUAGUUUCUUCUAGAAAUUGUAUAGUUUUGCAUUUUUAGUGUAAGGAUGAUUUUGAGUGAUUAUUUGUGUAAGUUGUAAAGUUUUCG
rnacentral:lncRNA from 10 species